GGCUCAGUGGUCCAAUGGUAAAGCGUUCGUCGCGGAAUCAGAGGGUCUUGGGUUCGAUCCCAAACGGGCUUG
rnacentral:tRNA from 1 species